AUAUUAUAAUUACAACAAAAGCCAAAAGAUGAUGGUCUUUUGCGCAGUGAAUUCACCGGCAGUCCCGUAAUUAUUGUCAACUUUGAUGUUUCUCUGUUUUUUUCCUCUGUCAAGCAAGUCUUCAGCUGGUCCAGAUCUAUUCUCCUUGGUCAUUGGAACUAAUCAUUCGUAGGUUUUAAUCUCAGGGAAAACACAUAUGGUUCAAGGUAUCUGGAGCGGUCAAAGUGGCGACGGUGGCUCUCUGCUAUGCUCUACGCCGUUUCUCUUAGGUAGCAUAGAGGCCAGUUCAUGGUUGCCAGCAGAUCAGAGUGGUGGCUAUCACCAAGGCCAGACCAGUUUCGCUAAUUAGACAAGUCACCGAAAUGGGUAGCCGUUGUUUGGGCAAAAACUACGCUCAGGAAGUCAAAGAAAAAGCACCCCAGUUUUCAAAGGAUAUCGAGUGGGAUUUCUUGGGCAAUUUAUAGAGUAAUCAAGUUAAAUCCUUACUAGGGAAGUGAAGAAGAAAAGCGAGAUUACUACAAAUAGAAAGGAGUUGGAUGGAACAACAUAAUUGGUUAGUUAUUCUUCAUUAGGAGAAUAUCUAUGAAUAUCUAAGUGGUAUGAUUAUUAAUUCAUUACUUGAGUUUCAACAUUUAAGUUAUAUAGAUUUGAGUAGAAAUCAUUUUGAAGGGAAUCAUUAUUUAUAUUUCAUUGGGUCCCUAAGCAGAUCGAAAUACUUGAAUCUCUGAUAAUUUUUUAACUGGAACUCUAUCAAAUUAGCUUUGCAACCUCUCAAGAUUGUAAUCUUUUGAUCUUAGUUAUAAUUCUAGUGUUAAUUUUGAAAGUUUUGACUAUCUCUUUAACUUUUUUUCUCUUGAACAUCUUGACCUGAAUAGAAAUGAUCUUAGUCAAGCUAUUGACUGGGUGCAAACGGUUAACAAGUUUUUUCUUUUAAAAGUUUUAUUGUUAAAUGAUUGUUAUCUUUAAAACAACUGUCCUUUCUCUCGUUCUUUUAUAAUUUCUUCUAAAUCCCUUGUUGUCACUCUCUCUCUUACAACCAUAUUGCUUCUACUUUCAAUUGGUUGUCCAAACUUUAGUAACAACCUUGUUUAUCUUGAACUUGGAUAUAAUUGGGAUAUCAAUUUUGAAAAUCUUAACGGUUUUUUUUUUUUUAUCUUUCUUCUUUAGAGUCUUGACCUGAGUUGAAAUAAUCUUAGUCAGACCAAUGAUUAGUUACUAGUGCUUGCCAAACUCCCUCACGUACAUGAAUUGUAUUCAAGUUUUUGUAGUUUUUCAAAUGUCAUUCCUCCAUCGAUUUCUCUUGCAAGUUUUUUUAAAUCUCUUGCAGUCAUUGAUUUCUCGAAAAACUAUUUUACUUUAAUAUUCAAUAGGUUGUCUACCAUCAAUAAUAACUUAACUGUUCUUGACCUAUUAUAUAGUUUAUUACAAAAUGAUUGUAAGAAAGAGAAAUAGGAUAGUCAUUUAACUUAAAGACUUUUAAAAGAAGAAACUUGUUAAUUGUUUGCAUCUAGUUAGUGGCAUGACUGAGAUCGUUUUCGCUCAGGUCAAGAUAUUCAAGAGAAAAAGAGGUUAAAAAGACAAUUAAUACUUUCAAAAUUAACAUCAGAAUUAUAAUUUUGAUAAAAAAAAAUUGCAAUCUUGAGAGGUUGCAAAGCUGAUUUGAGAGAGUUCUAGUUUAAAAAUUGUCGAAGAAAUUCAUGUAUCUUAGUUUGCUUAGGGACCCAACAAAAUAUGAGAAAUGAUUCUCUUCAAAAUGAUUUACACUCAGAUCCAUGUAACUUAAAUGCUGCAACUCAAGUAAUAACUUAGUGAUUGUUCCACUUAGAUGUUCAUAUGUAUUUUUAUGAUGAAAAUCAAGAAGAGUAACAUAAUUAGUUACGUUGUUGCAUCCAACUCCUUUUUAUUUAUAGAAAUUUCUCCUCAUCCUCAAGUAGAAAGAAUACCACCAUACUCAUAGUCACCAUCACUGAUUAUCAUAGAAAGUCUUACAUAAACAAGACAAGACAAUUAUUAUAUGUUUGACAAAAUGUGGCAAAUUUUCAAAUUGAACUAUGCCAAAGUUGAAUUUUCAAAAAAUAAAAUAGUAAAUCAUUAAAUUCUCUUAA